GAGCUCAGCGCUGUGUCCGCGCGUCUGCCGGCGCGGGGGUUCCCGGGGUUCGGCGGUCCGCGCUCUCCCUUCCUGCGCGACCUCGCGACGCUGCUUUGCCUUCACUCGUUCCAGCUUUUGGUCAAGAUGGUGGAGAAGGUAAAUGUUGUCCUUGCAUCCUCACAUGACAACUUCAAAAUUACAACUAGACUGCAGAAUCACCGCUGCUGAGAACUACCUGAAGUCUAGCUGCACAGAAGUUCUACCACAGUUGACGGCAAGUAACUGAAGGGGUGGAAAGUGAAAUCACGGAUAAGGGGAAUGUUGUGAAGGCUGAACCGAAGCCCAAGUUGGAGGCAACAGAACUGUGGAGCUACUGAGAGACCCAGCUUGGUUCCUAACAGUGACUCCAAGAGGAGAAGACCAUCCUUGCUGCCUUG